rnacentral:misc_RNA from 1 species
AACACUGUUAACCUGCGGUACCUGCGGAGGGAUCAUUACUGAGUGAGCGCUCUCAGGCGCGACCUCCAACCCUUUGUAUUCCGACCACGUUGCCUCGGGGGCGACCCGGCCUUCGGGCGUCGGGGCCCCCGGUGGAUAUUCAACUCUGCAUCUUUGCGUCUGAGUAUGAUAUUGAAUCAAUCAAAACUUUCAACAAUGGAUCU